rnacentral:rRNA from 1 species
GUGCCAGCAGCCGCGGUAACACCGGCGGCCCGAGUGGUGGCCACUAUUAUUGGGUCUAAAGGGUCCGUAGCCGGUUUGGUCAGUCUUCCGGGAAAUCUGACGGCUUAACCGUUAGGCUUUCGGGGGAUACUACCAGGCUUGGGACCGGGAGAGGUAAGAGGUACUACGGGGGUAGGAGUGAAAUCUUGUAAUCCCUGUGGGACCACCAGUGGCGAAGGCGUCUUACCAGAACGGGUCCGACGGUGAGGGACGAAAGCUGGGGGCACGAACCGGAUUAGAUACCCGGGUAGUCCCAGCUGUAAACUAUGCUCGCUAGGUGUCAGGGACGGUGCGACCGUUUCUGGUGCCGCAGGGAAGCCGUGAAGCGAGCCACCUGGGAAGUACGGUCGCAAGGCUGAA